rnacentral:rRNA from 1 species
UACGUAGGUGGCGAACGUUAUCCGGAAUUACUGGGCGUAAAGGGUCUGUAGGCGGUUUUACAGGUCUGGCGUGACAAUUCUCGGCUUAACUGAGAGAGUGCGUUGGAAACCGGAAGACUAGAAUCACGUCGAGGUCGGUGGAAUUCCCGGUGUAGUGGUGGAAUGCGUAGAGAUCGGGAGGAACCCCUAAAGCGAAGGCAGCCGGCUAGACGACGAUUGACGCUGAGGGACGAUAGCGUGGGGAGCGAACAGG